rnacentral:lncRNA from 1 species
CAUUUACUUAAAAUUUUGUUGUUAAUUAAUUAUAUACAAUAUUAUUAUUUAACUACUAUAAUUACUCUUAUUCUUAUUAUUCCUAUCUAACUACCAAAACACUAUUUUUCUUAUUUUAAAAAGUAACUCAUUUUUUAUUCAAACAUAAAAUUGAUCAUGUUUUCGUUUAUCUCCGAAGUUGUAUCUAUUCCAGGAAUAACCAAAAAUAAUUGUUUUCGAAUCAGACGAUACCCUAGAAUUUAGUAGAUAGCUGAUAGAGUAAUAUGAUCUAAGGGGUGAAAAUGAUCAAAGAGAUAAAUUUAACAGCAGAAAACUUGGUGGCACCAAGUGCUCGGGGCUAUUGAUAGUAUUGUAGUUAGACUCAUAUAUUAGUUAAAUAAUAUUUGAUUGUUAUAUAUUUUUAGUGACUUGAAAAAUUAUAUUCAAUACUUUGACAUUUACAAAAAAAUUAGCUUAAUAAUUAGUUUAUUUUUAAAAAAAUUUCAGGGUGUCUGUGGUAAUGAGGACUGGGAAGUGCCUCAUCCCUGCUAUGCUCCAUUGUCAUCCCUAGGUUGGAAUAGUUUGAUAUAUCAUAUGAUUUAGGUAAAAAUGUAUAUAACAUAUCAGAUAUAUAUAUAUGGAUCAUUUUGAGACAACUAUUCAGUCUUUCAAAUUUUUAUUUUUUUUAAUAUUUGAUUUAAGUUAGGCAACAUGUGACGAGACAAAAAUUCAAUAUUUCAAUAUUUUAUUUUUUUUAAAAUAUUUGAUUUAAGUUAGGCAACGUGUGUGACAUUCCAACUUUCCACUGGGUCACCCAUCCUAGAACUACUUCCGUCCUAACAUGCUUAACUUUCUUAAGUUCUUGGGCUUUGCCACCACCCAAAAUGAUUAAGUCGGAUUAAGAGUUUUAGCCUUAUUAUAUUUUAUAUAUAGGAUUAUUCGGGAUCUCACAUUUUUCUGCUUUUAAGCAUUAACGUUCUUGUCAGGCUCAGACUUACAAGUAUCAAGCGAUGUGAGACUCGUCUUGCUAGUCUUGUCAUUCCGACUCUGAAACAAUCAAAAGUCAUCUCACACUUUCGGCUGGUAAUUGGCUCUUAUACCAACUGUGACGUCCCAACUUUUCAGGAGUUAUCCAUCCAAGGACUACUCCCGUCCUAGCAUGUUUAACUUUUUUAACCUCUUGGGUCUAGCCACAGCCCAAAAUACUUAAGUCGGACUAAGAGUUUUAGCUAUAUUAUAUCUUAUAUAUAGAACUAUUCGGAGUCUCACACAACGACACAUUGACUUUAAAGUUUCAGUUAAUUAUUUUAAAUAAUAAAUUUACAGUUGCAAAAAUUACAUAAAGUAUACUUAUUAAAUUUAUAAAAUAAAUAACAUAAUUAAAUUUUGAAGCCAUAGUGCAGUUAAAGGUUUUGGCAGUUGACGAAGUCUUCGUUUGGGAUUGCGGGAAGAUUGCGUUACGUGCCGUGAGAAAGUACGUAGGAAAAAUAUCCUGUUUAUUUUCGUACGUAAUAUUGUCUUCCGCAUAUCGCGAUGAGUCGGUUACGAUGUAUUUUCUGCGGUCCCACCGGAGAACGCAAAAGCAUAUCCAUAUUUGCUUUUUCCUCAACUCCAUUUUUUCUAAUAGCGUUAGAUAGACUUCAAUACCAAACUAAGCCUAAAAAUGGUUCAUAAUUUAGAUAACUUAUGUGCGUUCUAACAUGUAAUUUAUUUUGUAUUCAAAUUUAAUAUUCUAUUUUAAUUUGAAAAUUGGUAGUUGACUAAAAAUGGUUCAUAAUUUAGAUAACUUAUGUGCGUUCUUAUGUGUAAUUUAUUUGGUAUUCAAAUUUAAUAUUCUAUUUUAAUUUGAAAAUUUUCUAUCUGAAUUUUAAUACCGUAUCAGAUGAUAGAUUUAAAGAUAGUCCAAAUUUUUGUUUUUCCGAAAAAAGAAAGAGCUAGCUUACACUCAAGGUGUUGGUGAACUUUGGCUAUAAUUUUUACUAUUAUUUAUUUUAGUUUAAAAUGUAAAGAGACUUUCUGAACUUUGGCUACUUUUAUAAAUAGAUGAGUGAACUUUUAAUUUAAUAAUUAUAUUAUCUAAACUUUAUGAAAUAAUUUAAUAGACUCCUCUCUUUAAUUAUCAAUUAAAAUUAUUAAUCACACAAUCAUUUUGAUAGUUUGUAUUGCUUAUAGUUUUAUAAAGCUUUAAAAUACAAACAAAUUUAUUUCUUAUAUUCUAAUACGUAAAAGAAGCAAUAAAAUAUGAAGUUUAAUUCAACUCAUCCUUCGCUCAUCAUAUUUAGUUAACAACAUUGAAAGCGAAAAAUAUGCAUAUUUAUAUUUUGAAGCAUUAAAAAACUAUAUAUAUGAAAUUCGAUUAAAAAGGGAGGUGAUUCAUUUUUAGUUNAAGUGAGAGAGAGUAUAAGUUAGAGAGAGAGAGAGCAUAAUUAAAAAAAUAGAAAGAAAAAUAUAGUCGAAAUUAGAGGGAGUGAGAGAGUUGAAAUUUUAGAAAGAGAGAGAGAGAGAAAGCUUAGUUUAGAGAGAGAAAAAAAAGUUAAAUUUUAGAGAGAAAAAUAAGUUUAGAGAGAGAUAUAAUGUUAGAGUGUAAAGAAAAAUAAUAUCAAUUAGCCGGCGGGUAGGAAGAAAGAAAGAGAUUAGACAUAUUAUGAUUAUUUAAAUCCAUUAAUAUGAGGAUACCCACCCUCCCUCAAGGGAAUGAGAUUAGUAUUUUAAGGUGAAUCUUAUUCCCAAGUGAAUCAAAUAUUACCAACUGGAUUACUUAGUGCGUUUAGCCAAACACCGUCAUAUUUUUUUAUUCCUAUUGGAUUACUAGAAAUCUUUAAAAGAUAGCGCGAACCAAACGCACCCUUAUAUUAAUGUUUUACCUACCAUAGCUUUAGUCAUGUUAUUUUAUACUUAUUAUUGUUUUGAAAUUGCUAUGUAUUUAUUUGCCUCAUGUGAAUGGUAAGUCAAAUAUAAAUUUAUAAUUAUUAAUCAUGUAUAAAAACUAAAAAUUUUAAGAGAAUUUCAUAUAUCCAUUUGCUGAACAUAAAAUAUAAAACUCUUUUCGCUUCCAACAUCACAACUGUGAGUAAAACUAAGAAUAAAGUUCUGCAACUUUUAAUUGAAAGAUUUUUUCUAAAAAAAAAGAACACACAAAGCAUGCUUUACUUUAUAAUCUCCAAUGGUUUACACAUUCUAAUUUCUAUUUUAUAUCAUGUUUUUUUCAUAAUAGUAACAGUUUAAAUAUUAAAAUAAAAAAUAAAAAAUUAAAAACUAAAAUUUGAAUUUCAAAAUUUUAAAUAUAAAUUGUUUUAAAAAAUUUUAAAUUCAGAUUUAAACUUAAAAUUACAAAUUUUGAUUCAAAUUUUAAUUUUAAAUUUAAAAUUUUGAAGUAAAGGUCAGCAAAAAAAAAAUAGCAAACACCAAAGCCUUAUAAAACUAUUUUAAAAAAUCAAUUUUCUACUUGAGCUUUAAUUAAUUAAUUUUUAAAUAAAAAUUAAUUCUACAAAAUUUAUAUAUAUUUUUUGUUUACGAGUCGGCUUCUGUUUGGCUCGAAAUGAGCUCGAGAUCGAAUCGCUUAUUUAGUAAACGAGCCGUACACGAGUUGAAUUUUUCAGCUCGUUUAAUAAAUGAGCCGAACAUGUACUAGGAUCAGCUCGGUCAUGUUUGACUCGAUUACAGCUCGAAUAUAUAUAUUUUAUAUUUAUAUAAUUUAUUUACUUUAUAUUUAUAUAUAAAAAUAAAUAAUUUUAUAUAUAAUAUAUAUAUUAUUAUUAUUUAAUUUUAGUCCAAAAAAAUAUAAAGCGGAGAUCAAAUAUAAAAUGACUUAUUUAUAUGUAAAUUUUCUACCAUUAAAUCAAAGUUUAAUAGGUAAGAUUUUAUAUAUUUAUUUUUUAUUUAUAUAUAUAAUCUAAUCUAUUUAAUUUAUUUUUUUGUUGGUCAGCUCGUGAGCCUGCUUUUGUUCGACUUGUUUAUUAACAAGCGGAGGAACACGAGGUGAAUUUUUCGGCUCGAUACUUUAAGGACUUAAUUAUAACAAUUAAAAAGUUGUGGACUAGAUUGAAACCCUGGGCCAAAGGUUGAGGAUCUACUAUCUAAGGACUAAAUUGAAACAUUCGUAAAAAGCCAGGACCUCCCAUGUAAUUAACCCCUUAAAUAGCUUCCUUCGGAAUUUCCACGACCCCUGCUUCCGUUCUCUCCGCCCAAAAUCCCCAAACCCUAAUUGUAGGGUUUUACCCCGCGACGCCAUGGACGUGGACAUGGAUACACGGAGAUCCCAAACCCCCGAGGAGACGGCCGACACCUUCGAAGACCUCGCCGGCGCCGACGACGACGACCUCGGCUCCGCCGUCCUCGUCCGCCACCAGAGCUCCCCGCGCGAGGACCACCAGCAUCUCUGCGCCGCCGUGGGCGCCAUGGCCCAAACCCUAAAGGACCAGAGGAUCCCCCUCACCCCCGUCGCCUACUUCGGCGCCACCGCCGCCUCCCUCGACCGCCUCUCCCGCGACCCCUCCGCCGCCGCCGCCUCGGAUCCCGUCACCACCGCCCUCCUCACCUUCCUCUCCUCCGUGCUCCCCAGGGUCUCCGCUGCUGUGUUGAGGAGCAAGGGGCCCUCGGUUGCCGAAUCCGUGGUCCGGAUUUUAGGGUUCCGGUCGCUGCCGGAUGGCGGCGUGAAGAGUGGAUUGAAGUGCAUUGCUCAUUUGAUCGCGUUUGGGGAUAAGUCGAAUUGGUCGAGGUUAUCCCCUUAUUAUGGAGUACUUCUUGGCUUCGUGACGGAUCACCGGCCGAAGGUAAUGCAAUAAUUUAGUUUCUCUCUUACAUUGUAUUUAAUUAGUAUAUACUUUAUCCUCAAGAAAUGUGCUAUAUUGCAUCAGAUUUUUCUACUGUGUACAUCUUUCAAAUGUAGCACACUUGAAAUUCCCUUUACUUUACCCCCUGUUUAGUUGCCUCAAAUCCUAGAAUUCUAAAGAAAUAAAAUUCCCAUUUUGCUAAAUCCAUUGUUUGGUAUCAUAAGUUGAUAGGAAUUCAAUUCAUUCGCAAGGAUUUGGUGGAAUGAUUUGAUGUCUGAUUUGGUGAGAAUUCAUUUACUAUUUGUUAUACUUUAUCGAUAACGCCAAAUACCCUUUUCUUAAAUUAGUUAUGAUAUCCUUCUUACUGAAUAACUGAGGAUAAAAUGCGAAAUGUAAUUACGCUGAAAUAAUCUCUCAUUCUUUAUCGAACGAUAAAACUGAAUGGAAUUCGGUUGAACUCCAUUUUAGUUCAAACAAAAAAUUUCAUUUCUAUGUAUAUUCAGUUGAAUUCUUCUCAAAUGAAUUCCAUUGAAUUCUAUUUAGAUUUGAUGCCAAAUGAACCGUUAAUAUUGCAACCUUCCGUAAUGGGAAGGGAAUUUAAGAGAUUCAAGUCUAUUUGAGUUUCUGUAUUGUUUAGCCUUUGACGAUUUAUGACAUGGAUAUGCCGUUUAGCCAUUGUUACUUGAUUAGAGCUUGAGACAUGAGAGUUCCUUGCUGAUGGGACGUUAACGCAUCAAAAAGAUGUAUCUUUCUUUGUUCCUUCCCUUGCACUCUCUCAAAAUUAUGACUUGUCUAAGCUCAAAACUGUGUUUGCGUUUUGUGGCAUGGAUGGUUAAAUGACUACACAUCUAGUAAAAAUACUUUCUUUUCCCAUUUCUUAAUGUUGUAACUUAGAGGUCUUCUUAUUUUUUAGAUAAGAAUUUUGUAGUUUACACUUCAUUUUAGCUGAAUACUGAGAAUCCUUAGAAUAAUAAUCAUUGAAAAAGAGAUAAAUUUGACUUCCUCUUUUGGUAAGCAGAAAUAUAUCAUUCUGAUCAUAAAGCAAAAUCAGUUAAUUUAUGAGUUCAUGCAUAGGAUAUUAUGCAGUUAUAUGAAAUAUAUAUUUAAGAAUCUAAGGAAUGGUUUGUAGGUGAGAAAGCAGAGUCAUGCAUCUCUGCGGGAUGUUCUUCAGAGUUUCCAAAAGUCAGCAGUUUUGGUACCAGCAAGUGAAGUGAUCACUGAAACUUUUGAGCGAUUUCUUUUACUUGCUGGUGGGUCAAGUUCUUCAAAAACAGCUGCAUCAGAAGAAGGGCCUAGGGGGGCUUUGGAAAUCUUGCAUAUUCUGAAUGCCCUCAAGGAUUGCCUUCCUCUUAUGGCGACAAAAUCAGUCAACAUGAUCUUGGGAUACUUUAAACGGCUGUUGGAGUUGCAUCAGCCCAUUGUGACAAAAAGCAUAUUGGAGAUUUUGCAGUCUCUUUGUAACUAUCCAACAUCAGAGGGUAAUCCUGAAUUGCUGUUAGAUCUAUUAUGCUCUUUGGCAGUAUCUGCCUCUGAGGAAAAUUCGGCAGAUGAGAUGGCAUCAAUAGCACGUUUGUUGCAUGUCGGUAUGAAAAAAGUUUACUACCUGAACAAGCAAAUAUGCACUUUGAAGCUCCCAGUUAUAUUCACCGCUCUUGGAGGUUAGCUUUAAUAAUUAUUUCUGGCUAAUUCCUAAUUUUUAGCCUGUAGUACAUUUAUUUGCUGAUUUGGGCGAUGUAUCUGUUCUUUUCAUCAUUACUUUAGACAUAUUGGCAAGUGGGCAUGAGGAAGCUGUGUUUGCUGCUAUGGAGGCUUUGAAGGGUCUGAUGCAUUCUUGCAUUGACAAAAGCUUGGUUGAGCAUGGAAUUAGCCAAAUCAAGGCUAGACUACAAGGGUUAAGGGCUGCACCCACCGUUAUUGAAAAGAUUUGUGCUAUCCUUGAAAGCUUCCUCGGUUUUCAGUAUAAUGAUGUUUGGGACUUAUCAUUUCAUGUUCUUUCCUCAGGGUUUGAUAUUCUAGGUAAAUUUCAUUUUUGUUGUCUUCUUCCCCUAGCUUUCUGAAAAUUUUCUUGGUAAAUUCAGUUGAACACUCGAAUGGUAAAUUUUGGUUCUUGAAGAUUUUGUCAAUGCAGUAAGUUGUGCAAUGUUCAGCCAUUUGUGUGUAAGUAUGUGCAUUUGCAGUCUCGUGGCAACCAUAAAGGACCUUGAUGCAUUCUUAGGCAGCUUGACAGGCUUAUUUGUACCUAAAUAACCUGCCUGUGGCUUUUUACGCUGUAGCUACGUAAAAUUGGUAAUGGAUUCAAUGUUGAUAACUACUACCUAUAUAUAUAUAUAUAUAUAUAUUGAGUAUGUCUCCCGUGCUUUCGAAAGUACGGAGGCCUUCGUACUUGUAAGUUGUUUUCGAUGAUAGGACAUCCAAUUCGACGAUUGGCUCUAUUAGGCAUAAUCUAUGCUAUUGGAACUAUCAUGAAACCAAAUUUUAUAAUUUUUCGACAUCAUUUACCAAGCGAUCACAGGGUCUCAAAAAUGACUAUUUUAACUGCCGAUGUGGCACGUUUUUAAUUUCAACGGUGUAGAAGUAUCCAAAUUACAUGAAACUUUAAUAGAAAAUUCUACUUAACAACAAGAGCAAGAACAAUACUUCCGAUUUGAAAUUUGAGUCAUUUAUCACUAUUUUUUAUGAGAUUUUUAUUGUCAGCCGUUCAUUUUGAGGCUACUCGUUCACUAGGCAAACGGAGUAAAAAAAUUAUGAAAUUUGGUUUCUAGAUAGUUCUAAUAGUGUAGAUCAUGUUUAACGGAACCGAUUGCCGAAUCGGACGUCCCAUCAUUGAAAACAACUUACAAGCACGGAGGCCUCCGUAUUUUCGAAAGCAUAGGAGCCUAGCUCUAUAUAUAUAUAUAUAUAUAGAGAGAGAGAGAGAGAGAGAGAGAGAGAAUAGGGCUACUGUGCUAUUAGGAGCACGGCAGCCUUUGUGCUCCUAACUUCCUAACCAUCCAUCAAUUUUGAUGGGUUGUUAGGAUGAGAGAGAGAAGAGAAAUUAGGAGGAAACUCAAAGAAGAGAAAUUGAGACACCUAAUUUCUCCUCAAUUUCUCUUUUCUCUCUUAUCCUAACCAUCCAUCAAACUUAAUGGAUGGUUAGGAAGUUAGGAGCAUAAGGGCUACUGUGCUCCUAAUAGCAUAGUAGCCCUGCUCUCUCUCUCUCUCUCUCUCUCUCACUCUCUCUCUCUCUCUCUAUAUAUAUAUAUAUAGAAUUUGGCUGGAAUACUGUUAAUAGCACCAAGUCAUUGAUGCUAUUAGGUUUUCAUGCCUUGGAUGAAAAAAUGUGCAGUUAGAAUGAUAGUGGUUCCUGGUUAGGAUGAUAGUGCUCCCUUAGGGUUGAGUGGGUGGUUGGUUGAAUAGUAUGAUCCAACGGUUAGAAAUGAUGAAAGUGAUAAAUCUAACGGCAGAAAAUUUGGUAGCACCAAACGCUUGGUGCUAUCGAUAGUAUCCCAGCUGAAUUUUAUAUAUAUAUAUAUAUAUAUAUAUAUAUAUUUGGGUGCUUACAUCCUUCUAAAGAUACGUUUUACUAGAAUACUAGAUACUUUUACAAGAUUUUUGUUAUUUGACAUCUCAAUAGCUUAGUGUUAUAUAGUUCCACAUCAAAUAUCUAAUUAUCUGUACUAGUGCAUUGUUUUCUUUAGUCUUUCCAUUGGUUUCUUUUCCAUGUAUGCAUAUUUUCACAUAGUAAAAUACAAGUAUUUUUGAAAUAUGUUACCUUAGCUUACUAUGUGCACUUGGUGCCCACAUGCUGCAACUACCCUUCAGGAUGUUGGUUAAGUAAUCAAUCUGUGUUUGGAAUUUACAAUACUGUGGGAAAUUCCUGUUCCCUCAUGAUGCCUCAACUCUGAAGCACCAAGUGAAUAUUUUGCAUACAUUAUGUCGUCAUACGUUCAGAUAUUCAAUGUGCUUUUAUCUCAUGGCUUGAAUUUUUUCCUUACAAUUGUGCACAUAUUAUGAUAUUACUGAAUUUAUCUAUCCUAUAAUCUUUGAGUUUAAUGAUCUUUCUUUGCUUAGUAUUUCCAUUCCUUGAUAUAUGUCAUUCAAUGUUAAACCUUUAGGAGAAGCUUCAUGCUAUCUAAUGGCCAAUGCACUGAAGAGCCUUGCAGAUAUAGAAAAAUUACCCGAUGAAGAUUUUCCUUACAGAAAGCAGGUUUUGUAUUGUUUGCUAUAUUUGGCCAUGUUAUUAUCUUCAGUUUUACAUUAUGGAAUUAUAGGUCACUGGAUCAUAGUAAAGACUUGUGUAUUUUCAAUCUAUUUAUGCUCUUAAAUACGCAAGGCUUGCUCAAAAUUCAUAAUGAAUUAAGAGUCCUGUUAGAAGUUAUUUGAUCUUUUUCUUCUCGUUUAAUUCAGUUUUCCCUUCUCUUUUUGCAGCUUCAUGAAUGUAUUGGGUCAGCCAUUGGUGCUAUGGGACCUAAGGAAUUUUUAAAUGUUUUACAUGUACAAAAUAUAUCGGACGCCAAUGUAUGGAUUCUACCUUUACUAAAGCAAUAUACUGUUGGUGCCAGUUUAAGCUUUUUCGUGAAAGAGAUUUUAAAAAUGAUUAGCUGCAUUCAGGAGAACAUUCCUAAGGUAUGAAUUAUUUCAUAGGAAAUUCGAGUCAAUUUUAUUUGGCAUGCAUUUUAACUGGAUAGUUUUAAUUGAACAGCUUGUUGAGGAGGAUAAACUCUUCUCAGCUAAGAGGGCAGAAGGUUACAUAUAUUCACUGUGGUCCUUAUUGCCUUCUUUCUGCAACUAUGCUUGUGAUACUGCAAGUAGCUUUGGAGAUCUUCAAAAUGUAUUAUGUGAUACACUCCGUAAUGAGCCCAGCUUGCAUGGGGUAGUGUGCUCCAGUCUUCAGGUGGUUCUCUUCUUUGCUAAUAGUUGAUUUACUUGUAUAUCCUGCAAAUUGUCUAUCUGCCUAUGUAUGUAUGUGAAAAAUUCUGAAUAAUUAUUGAUGCCCAUAAAGUGCUUGAUAUCUUCCAGCCCUAGUACUUUCAAAAUUGUUUACUUUAUGGAACUUUUUCUAAUACAUGACCAACUAAUGCCAUGAAUUGGAAAACUCUGCAACUCAAGACAAGUGCAUUUUUGUAAGAAACUUCACCAUCAAUGGAUAUUAUACAAAUUCAAAUAUUACAGGGCUGCACAUGUAAUUGAUGAUUUUGCAGGAAUAUUUAUGUGAAACCCCUUACCAGUUAUUGUUCAUGUUCUUUAUUAUUGCAUGAAAUGUUAGGAUUUAUCCUUCUCUUCUUGUUUCUAGAUUCUAAUUCAACAGAACAAGGGCAUACUCUCUGAAACAAAGCAAAAGGACACAGAGCCUGAGGAUGAAUUAAGCAAGCAUGUGAGUAGAGCUAAGUCCUACUAUACCAAAGAGUUGGCAGAGGGAAAUUUAAAAGCCAUACGAGCUUCUUCUUCAAAGUUUUUGAAAGUCUUAUACUCUAUAUUCUUGGAAACUUCAAAAGACAAUGGUGGAAGCUUGCAGGUAUCGAGUUUCUUGUUUCCUCAUUAAUGCUAAUUAUUGAAGUUUUCCUAAUUUGUCUGCAUUACUGCUGUAUGCCAUCUAUUUCAUCUUUGCAUGAAGACAUGUUCAGAUGUUUUUUUCUUCGGCCAUCUGUCUAUUUAAUAGAUCAUCGAUUUUGUUAGAGCCAUUUACUUGCCAUCUCUCUCUGUCUCUCUCUCUCCCCUAAUUCCAUUCCAUUUAGUCAUGGCUUCUUUGUGGAAAAGAUGAUGGCUGAUAAGGAGAUUUUUUUUUUUUCCUUAAUAUAUACAUUUGGGUGGUGGUGGGUGCACUAGAGGAGAGUAGAGAUUUUUUAUCUGAAGUUGAUAUUCACCUCAAAACUGAAAAUGCCCUUGGUAGAAUGUUCAUUUUUAUAAGUGGCGAACAAACUUUCUGGAUCUCGUUACUUUAGCCUUGAGAGUCCAAAUUCAUGUAAUUGCUCCAUAAGAGUUCCUCUUGUUGGUGGUACUAGCGACUUCUAACCAGAAUUAUUGUUUAACCAACUUGCCUGGUCGAUGAUGAUCCUUUUGGGAAAUAUUUUAGCAUGAAACUGUUUAUCUUCUUUUCCAGGUCCAGAGAGGCUACUUUUUUUUUCAUAACUAAGAAGAACAAGUGGUAGUAGAAUAUUUUUCUGGCUUGGUCCUUUUGAUCCAGUUGUCCAUUACUCCCAAGUUAAAUUAUUUCUUUUUCCAUACUUUGUCACGAAGCUCCCAGCUGCUAAAUGCUCCUGAAACUGGAAUUCUUUAGAAUCUAUACUUCUUAAAUACUUUAUUCUAGUUAUGAAUUUGCUGAUUCUACAAGAAGGACAUAACAUUUUUCUUUCUUUAAAUUUUUCUAGUCCACCAUCAAUGAGAUUGCUUCGAUAGCAGACAACAAGGUAAUCAAGAAAUUCUUCGUGGAUACCAUGAAAGAACUAUUGGAGGCGACUCAGGAAGCAAUAAAGUCAAAGCAGAUUGAUGAUUCCAGUUCAAAGCAGAUUGAUGAUUCCAGUUCAAUGCAAAUUGACGCUUUGUCCAGCUCGAAAAUUAUGAGGAGGUUUGUUUAAAAAUUGCAAAGUAAUUCAUAAUUAGGUGUUUCUCAUCUGUCUGAAUGGGAGUUUUUUUUUCGGAAUCAUCGCAAGUAUCUCAUUUUGUAACAACCUCCUCCAGGGCCCUCUUAUUGGACUUUGCAGUUUCGCUUCUGCCUGGGCUGGGUGUAAAGGAGAUUGAUUUAUUAUUCAGUGCUAUUAAACCAGCAAUUGAGGUCCAUAUAUAGUUUAUUGCAAAUUAAAUCUUUUUAUCAAUGCUUUAUCUAUUGAUUGUGAUUCCCCAGAAAAAUUUAUUUCUUACAGGACGAAGGUUUAAUUCAGAAAAAAGCAUACAAAAUUCUUUCAGUUAUACUCAAGGUUAGUCUUGUAGGUAGAUCCUUGGAGAAGUGUUUCUUUUCUCGUCCAUGAAGUGUCAGCUGCUAAUUAUAUUUUCUGUUCAUUGCUAGGAUUCUGAUCAAUUCGUCAAAAGGAACUUGGAUGUGCUUCUCGACUUGAUGAUUAAAUCACUUACAUCUUGUCAAUUUCCAUCAAAACGUUAUCGACUUCAAUGUUUAUAUUACUUAAUUGUGUAUAUUUCAAAGGUUAGUGAUAAGAUCAACUCUCCUUUGAUGUUGGUGAUUUGGGUAUAUGAUGAUUCGGGCAUAUUAAGUAGACUUUAAUUAGAAAUCUGUUUUGUUGUUUAUAGGAUUCAUUCGAACAAAGGAAGAGGGACAUUGUUAGCUCCUUUCUCACAGAAAUAUUGCUAGCUUUAAAGGAGGUAAGCUGCUAGUUCUGUGAAGGUUUUGCGGUAUGUUACUAUGGGGCAAAUACUUGCUGUCUCUUAAUAGCAUAUUUAGUAGUAAUGAUUUUUGUUGUCUUCAUAUCUUGGAAAAGUCUAUCUUAUUCUCAUUUGCUAGUUGUUUGAAUAUUUGAUCCAUAAUGUAUGGAAGGUGUGAGAUUUUUCUAUAACAUUAAGGAAUCUGCAGAUGAUUUAUAUGGAUGUUCGAUGAUUUUUUUUCAUUGUUAUGGCUGUAGCAUCUAUCAGUCUGCUAUUUCCUUAGGGACUGCAUAAUUGUUCUUUGACUUUAAAAUUUAGCAAGACCCAGCUUUUUUUAUUAUUUUGUCAAUUGCAAUAAGUGUUAACUAUCUCUUUUAUCAGGCCAAUAAGAAAACAAGAAAUAGAGCUUAUGAUUUGCUUGUCGAAAUUGGUCAUGCUUGUGAAAAUGGAAACAAUGGCGGAAGCAGACAAAAAUUGCAACAACUUUUUAGUAUGGUAAUACUACUGAUUGAUGAUUUACCUUUUGAGUUGAUAUAUAUUUUUCUGUUGCCCAUAAGGGAGAAAAUCGAGAAAUACUAAACUUAAUCAACUGUUAGUGCUAAUGCUUUUAUCAUACAUCAAAUAGGAGUUUUCAUAUGAAAAUAUCUUAUCUUCCUCUGUUUACUCAGGUUGCUGGAGGUCUUGCCGGCGAAACCCCUCAUAUGAUUAGUGCUGCAAUAAAAGGGUUAGCUCGCUUGACCUAUGAGUUUUCAGAUCUCAUUGGUUUAGCUUACAACUUACUUCCAUCAGCAUUUCUCCUCCUGCAAAGGAAGAACCGUGAAAUUGUAAAAGUAUGUUUCAGUCUUGCAAGUUGUCUUUCUAAAUAAUGAGUAACUUUUUUUUCUUUAAAAAAAAAAACUCUCUAGUGUAGUGUGUGGUGUAGUGCACCCUUUUUUACCAUUUUUUUUUACUGACAUUUUGUGAUUUCUAAUAUAGGCUAAUUUAGGUUUUAUAAAAGUUCUGGUGGCCAAAUCCAAAGCUGAAGGGUUGCAAGAGCACCUAAGGGACAUGGUCGAGGGAUUGUUCAAGUGGCAAGAUGAUACGAAGAAUCACUUUAAAGCCAAGGUGCCUUUCUCUUUUCUGCAUAUAGUUCAAACAUGCAAACAUGAUUCUUAGUUCUGUGAUUUGUGCAAAUCAGAAGUUUUAUCCUUAAUGAAAACUGCUUUCUAGAUGUACAUCCAUCAACUAUAUCAGGGGGAAAAAAUCAAAAUAUAAAAAAGGGAAUUAUUUUAACUCACUGUGGCAUUCAUUCUGUAUGUUAUAUCUAGAUCAAGUUACUUCUUGAACUGCUGAUAAGGAAAUGUGGUUUGGAUGCUGUGAAAGCGGUUAUGCCUGAAGAACAUAUGAAACUGCUAACCAACAUAAGGAAGGUAAAUAUCAUUUUCUUCCUUGGUGCUAUUUAUAAUCCCUUUUUUUUUUUCCUUCGUCCUACCUUAAUUUCUCUUGAAAAGUAGAUUAAGGACCGAAAAGAACGGAAGACCAAAUCUUCAGACGAUGGAGAGUCACUUACAGCAAGAACAAGUAUCUCAAGGUAGCGUGAUUUCAAUAGUCUUUUAGUUGCAACUGAUAUAUAAUCGUAUAUGCACGUGCUUCAUAAAUCCCUUUUUUGGGCCCAACGAAUGGUUUCAUUUAGUAUUAUAAGAAACUUUUAAUUCUUUAGCCCCUGUUUGGUAUGGGGUUAAGGGGUGGAAUAAUCCCUUAACUCCAUACUUACUCCCAAACACUCACAAAAAUGGGUGGGGUUAGCUAACCCCACCUAACCCAGGAUAGCCCAUUUUGGGUGGGGUUAGCUAACCCCACCUAAACCCACCAAACCUCAAUCAAACACUAUUUUCUAUUCAUAAUAACCCACUAUCCUUCUUAUCUCAUCUACUCCAACCAAAUACUAUUUUUCACUAUCUUGGACUAACUCCAAUCCCCAACCAAACACAAAAAUACUCUAACCCCCUUAACCCUGAACUUAACCCUAUCCCUGAAAUAACUAGUUUUUCCUUAACCACGAACCAAACGGUUGCUUAAAGAAUUGGGUUGAUACUGUUUUACCACAGAGGACUCUAAAAUAUUAGCAUUACAUGCGUAUGUAAAAUAUGUUUCCCUGCCAAUGUCAGAGGCUUGUUUAAGUUUCCUGCGUCAAAUUCUUCUUACAUCUCCAUGUAUCUGGGGUUAGGCUAUGGACAUGCUUAGAAAGGUGAAGCUAUUAUAAUUCUGCUCCAUUCUGUGAUAAAAAUUCAAAUGGCUUGAGUUUCGUUUAGUACGUGCCUAUGCAGCCAAAUUCAUCUACUUCGUCUUGGUGUUGGAAGGAAGAAAUGUAUUUAUAGCAAGCUGCAUUCUGUUUGGUUGCAGUCGUCAUUUUCUGAACCUGAUACCUGUUUUUGUUAAUUUGCUAUUGCUUCAUGCUGUACAGGCAGAGUAGAUGGAAUCAUACUCGUAUUUUCUCUGAUUUUGGAGAUGAAGAUGGGAGCGACGAAGGUGAUGCUGAACUUGGGAUGGCCAAAUCCGUUAAUUCUUCUUAUCGGGGUUCAAAAGCUUUUUCAUCUAGGUACUUUUUCUCCUUCAAAUGCUUUUCAGGUGCAUCCUUUUUUCAAUUUUUAAAUUCUUCAACACUGUUCAUUUAAAAGUCAUCGUAUUCAUAACUCAUAUUCUUUGUUUCUAAAUAUUUAUUAUUAUCUUGAUGGCUUUUGCAUAGGUCUACGCGAAAGCGUAAGACAGCAAAAAGCUUAGCUGAAGAGUUGAUCGACCAAUCUGAUGGUGAUCCACUAGACUUGCUAGACCCUAAAACAAUGAGAACAGCGCUCCAAUCCUCGUCACAUACCAAAAGGAAUAGAUCAUCUCUUGAUGAGCCAGAGAUAGACCCCGAGGGCCGUCUAAUUGUGCGUGAGGAAGGCAGCAGACCUAGAAAGGAAAAGAGCUUCUCUUCUGAUCAGGACUUGGAUACAAAAAGCUUCUUGGGAAGCCGUUCUCUCGUGAGCACUUCAACAAGAGGACAGAAGCGUAGGAAAACAGCUGAAUCUGGGUGGUCGUACACGGGCAAAGAGUAUACCAGUAAGAGAGCCAGCGGGGACCUAAAGAAGAAGGAUAAGUUAGAGCCUUACGCUUAUUGGCCGCUUGAUCGGAAACUGCUUAACCGCCGGGCGGAGCGAAAAGCAUCUGCUCGGAAGGGCAUGGCGAGCGUUAUGAAGAAGUUCACGAAGAAGCUUGAAGGGACAAGUGCUACUGGUGCACUUUCCGUCAAGGAGAUGAAGGUAAGAAAGAAAGUAAAGGGAAGCAACAAAAGAAAGUAAGAUAUUGUUAAUUAUAUUUAAUGAUCUGAGAUGUACUGCAUCAAUGGUCAUCAUUUUUGUUUGGUUUAAAGUAUGGAGGAAAAGUUGCAUAUUGUGCGCGAGACUUUUCCUGGUUUUGAGGAUGUAUAGUCGCCGAAAGAGUGCAAACCGAAGCAAGUUGGAUGAAGACGGUGACUGUUAUUACCGGCUCGAAUUCGUAUUUGUAAUUGUAUGAUGAUUUUCUUUUUUGCCCCUAAACUUCUAUGGUGCCAAUAAUUUUUUGAUUUGUUGUAGAAUGUUCAGCUUUAAUUGUCUAUUUGGUGUUUUUUUUUUUUUUUUUUUUCCGUUUCGCCUGCGGUAGCGGGGGGAAAUGCAUAGGAUAUUUUCUCCUAUAGAAACUAUUCAGGUCGUAUAUGGAUAUGCAUAUGGAUAUGAUUUUAGAGAUUAAAAUUCAUUCGGAUAUUGAUAUGGAUUUGGAUUUUUGGACUUCUUUUUAAUAGUGUUAUAUUUUAUAUUUAAUAAAUUAUGUUGCAAUAUUAUAUCUCAGCGUUUCAUUCUCCUGGUUCCUAUAUCCAAAUAUUCUCUUCCUUUAUUCCAGUAUUAUGCUUUUUAAAGUUGGAAAAACUUUAAAUACCACUCUUGUUGUUUCGUAUUUUGUUAUUUUACUACCCUGUGGUCUAAAGUGUGUCAAUUUAGUAUUCUGCAGUUUUAUUUUUCUCUUUUUAUUUUUCUCUCCACUAAUUUUUUUUUUGUUAAAUCAGUGGUCUUUUAAAAUUAAAAGGUACUAAAGUGAAUAUUCGUUAAACUUAGGUGGGAUAUGUGAAAUUUUUUGUCUAUAAUUUAAUGAGAUGUUAACUGAGUUGAUGAAAAAAAAAAAAGAAAAAAAAAAAGAAAAAAAAAAGAAAGCACUAAAUUGAUACACUUUAAAUUACAGAAUACUAAAGUGAGAAAGUGCGAAAUCACAC